UUCCCGCCGCUGCCGCCGCCGCGACCUCCGCGCUCCCGCCCCGCCGGCCCGGCCCCCGCCCCGCCCGCCGGCAGCGGGAGCGGGGCGCACGGGGCCGCGGCUGUGCGCGAACUCACUUCGCAAGAAGACAGGCGCCCAACGUGUUCUGCGAUCACAGCUACAGGUGGGAAAGUGGAGUUGAAUGAUGGAGAACAUUCACUUCAAGACAGGUGAUCCAAUGUUUGCAGGAGACCUCAGGAGCUGAAGUUCAAAGCCCUAAACCCAAAGCACAAGGGAGACCACUUCGCUCUUACUUCACUAUCUUGGGAAGAUGCUUGAAAGAAUCAACAUUGCUCCUUGCAAGCUGCUGAAGGUUAAAGAGCUGCUCAGCAUUAUAUGCACCUAUUUGUAAUUUACACAUCAACAUCUAUUUGUCAUGCAUUGAAACUAUUUCCAUACAAAGAUGAUGUCCUGAGGAGCAGCAAAGACAGCAUGUCAGUUUUAGGACAAAGAAGCUUGCAGUAAUGGAUGAAAAAGCUCAGAUGUAUCUUGCUAAAGAUCAUUUACUCCCUCCCCUGGAAGGAGAGUACUUGGCAAAAUGUCACCUGGCACAUUACUAGUAGUAAUUAAAAAAAAAAUCUAUAUGACAAAAAUCUUGUGAAAAUGGGAUUAAGGAAUUUGGAACAGUUGUAGAAAAUCAGAAUACUAAUUGAAAAAGUCAGUCUUCAUUUUUCCUAUUUGAAAACUAGAGCUAUCUUGACUAUUAUUAUCUACAGUAUCUGGCAAAUUCUUCCACAAAAUGCUGUAAGUACUACUGUAAGUAGUAGCUAUGAUCAGGUUUAGCCACCUCACAACUUUGCCUUUACUACCCUUUAAGAAGCAGGUAGUAAUUCUCACAGCAAGAUGCCCCUAAGGUAAGUAGCAGUCCCUGUGCAUUCAGGGUUAUUGGAAUGUGACUGAAGAAUGCAUGCCCGACUUUACAUUGUAUUUUUUACUCAAGCAUUUAAAAAAAUCAAUCAUCAAGCCCCCAUCAAGGGGCAAUGUGUCAUUUUCCGUCUUGCAAGAUGAGUAUCGAAGGAUGAAUUUGGGUGGGGGUAGGAAAACUGUAAUUUAAACCAAAUCAUAGCAAGCAUCUGCCUUACUUCAAAGACCUCAUUCAUGGUUUUCAGAGUCAAGGCAGUACAUUGGUUAUAUUACUAAGGAAAUAUCAGCCCACAUAUUCCAAGGAAAGAUCAGCCCACGCUGAGAAAGAAGUGACAAGGCAUCUACAUGGUUAAUUACAAUUAAGAAGACAACACCAUGAAAAUCCAGUUGCAUAUGUAUAGCAAAUACUUUACGUGUGAGGGAAGAUUGUCCCAAGUACACUCGGGGGAAAUAAAAGCCCAAGCAGUUAUUAUGGGUGAGAAAAUGCUAGAGGGAAAAAUUCUCCAGCAGGUCAGACCAGAGCUGCCAUGGGACACAGCAGGAAAACACAAGCACCUCACCUCCUCUACUUGCCUCGUCUACUGGCACAGCAGUAGGAACAGCACCCACCAAAUAACCAAGGAAGAACAAGUUCUUACCAUUACAGUUCCAACAGAACAUCUUGGUGCAGUUUAUGCAAAGAUCACAUAAUGCAAUUGAUUUAAAAGCUCAGGGGAAAGUUACCUCAGGAAAAUCAGCUGUGAAAGGCAAUUAAGUGACAGGAAACCACAGAAGUGAGAGGAUGCACUGUGAGCAAGGUCCUAUCAGCAACCAAAAAGGUUGCUUAUUUGGGGGUUAUGUGCCCCCAGAGGAAGUCGUUCAACGUGUACUUUUUAUUGCAGAAACUGAAAUACAAGACAAAUUAGUCUUUUAGGAUAUAGCAGCUUUCUCCAAACAUGAGCUAAACCAAUGAUCCUCAUAGCAAAGAUCACUGGGAUGGACCCCAAGAGAUCACAGGUCCUCUGGCAGGGUGUGUCAGUGAGCUGGAAAUGCAGAUGCUAAGGCAUUGAGUUUGAGGUCAUAAAACACAUGGACCUCUGGAAUCAGAAGAGCAAACAUGAAUCUGUUAUUACAAUUUUGCAGAAAGUUUCAGCUGCAGCUGAACAGAGAAUUUUCUAGCUCCUGCCAGUUCUUCCAGUGCAAAGCAAAAUAGGAUUCCUACAAACACUACUGAGCAAAUACAAACGUUUUAGUCCAGUGGCAAAGGCUUAGGCUCGCCUGUUUCAGGUUAACAAAAAGGUCCAAGAAAAGCCAACUGGCAGUUUCUCUAAACCCUCUGCUCUUUCCAGUCUCCUCAGAGAAAGGUUACCUGCCUCUGGUCUGCUGAGCUACCACACCACCCCAUGCAGUGAUUUAGGAGAAGAGAAAACAAGCACAAGUCUGACAAAUUUUCCAGAUGGAUAAGGGCCAGCAGAAAAACCUGCCAACACUGAACUCCUGUAAUCUUCACCAGACCCAACCUUUUUUUUUUUUUUUCCUUCUCUGGAAGAUUUAUCCAUUUCAGGUUUGUGGUCUCUCUUUUCCAAUAAGCCACCUUCAACAUAAGAGAGAUUCAUUUCCCAAAGACUUUUUUCACUAAAAUCAUGGCCAUCUCAGGCAUCUGAAAGACAAGUACAGCAGAGGGACACAACUAAAGAUAUGGGAGACAGAAAUAUACCACAUGAACUGACAGAGGCAAAGAGAGGCCACGCUAAUUUCCCUAACCUCUGCCUCAGGACCUGUCAAAAUGUAUGGGUAGGAAUCCCCUCAUUAUCUUGACAACCAGUUGCCAAAUUAGUUUGAGUCAAAUGUCUCUCAUCUGCCAGUUAGAAGAAAACACAGAUGUUGUACACUUGGGUUACUUCUCACAUAUCUGGGCAGCGUGUAAAAAAAUGAGCAAGUGUGUAAAAUGUUCAUCCCCUCACACAUGUACGCAAACAGCAGCUGCGGUGGGCACCCAGCACAGGGUGCAGCCCACGCUGCCAGAGCAGGAGGCGGAAUACACAAAGAUAAACCUUACUUAGGAAUGCUCACGUGCUGAGUUAAGUACUGUGAUAAUUAAAUCGUUAGUCACAUUGACAAGUGGGUGGAAGAGGCUGGAAACGUCUGAUGCAGUUUGCUACAGGCAAUCAUAGAUUUACCAGUGAUGCAUCUGUCACACACAAAGAUGGGCUCAGACCCAAGGAUCAGCAACGGCACAACUUCAGCCUAUGUGCCAGAAGCAAAAUGGAACGAAGACACCAGCCCUGCAUCCCCAGUGCUGUAAAACAACCAAGACCCACUAUCAACCUACCUCAUGCAAGCAGCUGUAUGAUUUCACAUACUCAAAAUAUUCAUCUGGGAAAAAACUGACAGAGGCUAAUCCUUAUCUAGAGAUCUGGGGAUUUCCCUUCUUGAAAUUCUCCCUGAUAGUGCUAACUAUUUAUCUACCAUUUAUAUGUCCCCAGUCUUGUUAUGCAUAAUAUCUCACUUGGCUACUGCAUAACAUAAGGUUUGCAGGGUCAGCACAGAUGUGACAGCAUUUCAGUAAAUACCUAACCACUCUCUUCAGUAUCUGCCCCUCACACAGUACCAACUCAUCUUUGCAAGAGUUUUCAAUCUCCUUUAAAGUACAAAACUGAAAGUACCUAUGUUUGACUUAAUGAACAAAAUUUUACAUGACAGCUGAUGGUGCAAAAUUUGGUCUUGUAACCUGUGGUGGUGGGUUUUUGUUAAUCUGUUCUGGAGGUAUGUAUCCCAGUGAUUCCUCCUCAUAUCCCCCCCGAUAAGUCAGGUACUGUACAAAGGUAUCUCUUCCCUCUUUGUCCACCUCUCCUGGCCCUGCCCUGUCUCUGGAAGCUUUGGUCUGCUGUCCAUCUUUCCCCUGACCCUGCCCUAUGUUAUAGAAAAACACCUCUCAGUCUGCCCCGGGGCCAGUCCCGUUUGUUCACGCCCCUCACCCCCGUUUAAAAGUACGCGCGGGCUUUGUCCCGUCCUCUUUUUUCGUCCCCCCCUUUAUUCCCCUUGGGGAAAAAAGGUCUCUGAGAAAUCAUACGAAAAAGAGCCUUCUCUAUUCCUUGUUCCAAAGCCUAGACACCACGACACCUGUUUGCCAUAGAACAGCCUUGUUCUGCACUGUCACCUGAGACUGCUGGCAGGUUUGGGAACAGCCCUUGGCACAGCCGGGAAUCACAGCUAGCUGGGUUCUACCGGCUCGUGUCAGUAACCCAGAGCACCAGCCCUUGUUGCACAACCAGCCUCAAAACUCCUCCACUCACAGCAACAUAAUUAGGAAGGGGAGACGGAGAAAGGGAAAAAAUGGUAACCUGUAUUAGGACACCUCACUUGCUGUGCUGGUCCCACUCCAGAGAAGCCUGUGCAGCCUCCCCAAGUCUAGAAUUAAUGGUUACUAGAGAAGCCCAAGGCUUGUGGGGAGUCUGUUUACUUGCUGAUUCCUGCGACAGGUCAACUUUCAGGAAACAGGGGUCUGUAGGAACAUGCACAAAGAGGACAAGACUCACAGCAAGAAGGUGAGGUGGGUUGUUUUUCCCCCAAAAAUUUUUAUUUGAGAAAGUUGACAAAAGUCCCCCAACCAGUCAUUACAGGUGAAUCCACAGCAGUGCCCCACACCUGCUCCCCAGUAACUACACCAGUACAGUGAAGACCAAAACAUAACACCACAACGAUGAGAAUGUAAGUCACCUGGAGAACUUAAGGCCUCACCAUCAUUUUUAUGAUAACUUUGUACUCAGAUAAGGAUGGGAAGAGGAUAUCAAAACAGACAAGACUGGAAAAGCCCCUUUCUUGUACUGUCUUCUCAAGUUAUAUAAAAACAAAAGCAAAACCUUAACAGAUCUACAGGCUUCAAACUGCAGGACCUAAAUGACUUCUGUAUUUCAGUCCUGUGGCACUGCUGCUGUUCUGCACUGUAACAGCUUUCAAAAACAUACAAGGAUAAAAUGGAUGCAAGGGCAGAGGAGUGGACUUAGGAUCCUAAUAUGGCUUUAUCAAAAACCAAACAAAUUAAAAGCAAUCAAAGUACUUGCAGUGGAACUAACAACUCCAGGAACUUGGGAAUGGCAAAGAACGAAUGUAUUUAGAUGACAGGACAUCAUCUUUACAUCCUCUUUUCCAUUGCCUCACCCUGGACAACGGUUUCCUUCCUAAUAAUAGAUCAGACUCAGGUCAGAAAUUAUAAAACUAUGCCUUUUUGAAACUGCUAGGCUGGGCUCAGGGCCAUGACAACCCCAUUCCUACCCAGAAGUAUCUAGACACAGGACACCAGAAUGCUGUGCUGCUGAACCACUUGCUCUGAAGGAAUGCAGAGACGAUGAAAGAAUUGUAAUCACUGUCUAAAAGCUGCAACAAGUCCAGGAAGUUAACCUGCCUGCUUUUUUUCCCAGUCCAGUUUAUUUAACAUAAGACCAUCUGGACAGCCGAGAAACGGUGAGAAGCUGCUGGCUCUGGCUAACUAGCAGUGCACAGGAAAAUAACAGUUCUCUUGAGGGCACAGUUCAGACUGCCCCCUCAGAUGUAGAAUUAGCCUAUUCCCACCCUGUACUGCCUUUUUUCAGUUCAUCCACAUUUUCCCAACUCCUCUGCCACCCUGCACAGCACUAUUGUACCCUCAGACCUCAAUGCAGGGCACAGG